UUCCUUUGAGUUUCAGCCUUGGGACCAUACUCCCCAGGCGGAGCACUUAACACUUUCGCUUCGGUCGGAAACCUAUGGAGGAGCCUCCAACCUAGUGCUCAUCGUUUACAGCUAGGACUACCGGGGUAUCUAAUCCCGUUCGCUACCCUAGCUUUCGUGCCCCAGCGUCAGAAAAGACCCAGUGAGCCGCUUUCGCCACAGGUGUUCCUAAUGAUAUCAACGCAUUUCACUGCUCCACCAUUAGUUCCGCUCACCUCUAUCUUCCUCUAGCUUGGCAGUUCUGAGCGCAGUUCCUCGGUUGAGCCGAGGGAUUUCACACCCAACUUGCCAAGCCGCCUACGCACCCUUUAAGCCCAGUGAUUCCGAAUGACGUUUGGACGGUUCGUCUUACCGCGGCUGCUGGCACGAACUCAGCCCGUCCUUCCUCUGAAGAUAGGUCAACUAUGGGGGAGAACCCCCAUAGAUUUCCUCCCAACUGACAGCGGUUUACAACCCGAAGGCCUUCAUCCCGCACGCGGCGUCGCUCCGUCAGGCUUUCGCCCAUUGCGGA
rnacentral:rRNA from 1 species